rnacentral:rRNA from 1 species
AACGAACGCUGGCGGCAGGCUUAACACAUGCAAGUCGAACGCCCUAGCAAUAGGGAGUGGCGCACGGGUGAGUAACGCGUGGGAAUAUACCGUUUAGUGGGGAAUAACGUUGGGAAACUAACGCUAAUACCGCAUACGCCCGAGAGGGGAAAGAUUUAUCGCUAAACGAUUAGCCCGCGUGAGAUUAGGUAGUUGGUGGGGUAAUGGCCUACCAAGCCUACGAUCUCUAGCUGGUCUGAGAGGAUGAUCAGCCACACUGGAACUGAGACACGGUCCAGACUCCUACGGGAGGCAGCAGUGGGGAAUAUUGGACAAUGGGCGCAAGCCUGAUCCAGCCAUGCCGCGUGAGUGAUGAAGGCCUUAGGGUUGUAAAGCUCUUUCGCCGAUGAAGAUAAUGACGGUAGUCGGAGAAGAUGCCCCGGCUAACUUCGUGCCAGCCGCCGCAGUAA